rnacentral:rRNA from 1 species
UACAGAGGUUUCAAGCGUUGUUCGGAUUCAUUGGGCGUAAAGGGUGCGUAGGCGGCGCGGUAAGUCGGGUGUGAAAUCUUGGAGCUUAACUCCGAAACUGCAUUCGAUACUGCCGUGCUUGAGGACUGGAGAGGAGACUGGAAUUUACGGUGUAGCGGUGAAAUGCGUAGAUAUCGGAAGGAACAUCAGUGGCGAAAGCGGCUUCCUGGACCAGUACCGACGUUCAGGCACGAAAGCGUGGGGAGCAAACAGG